AGGGCGCAAAUCAAUAUAAAUGGUACAUACAUUAAAUUAGUAAGGUGUGAGAAAUUCAAUUAGCUCUCUCAUUGCACCAAUUUAGAAAUAAUCAAAGACAAAAAGAAAUGUAGUAAAAUUUAGACAAAUGAAAUAUAUAGGGGGAUUGAUCAGAAAAAGAAAGCGGCGGUGGAAGCAAAUGCAGCCAUUAGAAGUGGAACGAACAAAGUAGUUCUAUCAUUCGCCAUUGAAGGUGAAGGUGAAGGUGCUUCUUCUCCAGCAGCCAUGACUCCAUUAUUACCGAGAGCUACAACUACCAUCAUACAAAUAGUGAAAACCAUAGCCAAUUUCUUGAAUCCCUCCAUUGAUUCUCUUAAUUUACACAAAUUUCUCAAACCUUUUUUUUUUCUUGAAAAGUGGUUGAAAUUGAAACUCUCAGAAGCCAAUGAUGAUUUAUUAAUUUGCAGGAUUAAGGAUGUCC
rnacentral:lncRNA from 1 species